UAGUCUGUUUUCGAUGUGGCAUCCAGCUC
rnacentral:sRNA from 1 species